UACAGAGGGGGCAAGCGUUGUUCGGAAUUACUGGGCGUAAAGGGCGCGUAGGCGGCCGCCUAAGUCAGACGUGAAAUCCCCGGGCUCAACCCGGGAACUGCGUCCGAUACUGGAUGGCUUGAAUUCGGGAGAGGGAUGCAGAAUUCCAGGUGUAGCGGUGAAAUGCGUAGAUAUCUGGAGGAAUACCGGUGGCGAAGGCGGCAUCCUGGACCGAGAUUGACACUAAAGCGCGAAAGCCAGGGGAGCAAACGGG
rnacentral:rRNA from 1 species